GCUAAAUUUUGUCACGCAAAAUAAAUGGCUACCCAUCAAGGGUCCACAGGGGUCCUUUGCGCUGAGUGUGAAUUGUGCGCGUGCAUUUAUUUUGAGUCUGAAGGGAACGUUGUUGAUCUCGAAUUUUAAUUCAGAGAUCUUUAAUUUAUUCAAUAUAGUACGUAAAAAUAUUACACUAAAAUAAUACGUACGUUGUCUCUUGUAGUAAUUUAAUAGUUUACGUAAAGUGUCGUAUAUAAAUAAUGGCAACUCCACGUAAAUCUGUUUACAUACCGCGGUUCGGCUCACAGUCGUCCCAAUCCCAAACCGACAACAAAGUAACUCCUAGCGGGAGAAUCUGCAGAUUAAGCAAGAGUAUGAAAAGGGUGACUUGUGUGUCGAGUUCCCUAACCGUGUCAAACGUCAAAAGUCCUGAAAUAACGCCAUGUUGUUCAAAAAUAGCGAAAACAAACUACCUUUUGAGGUUUUAUUGGUCAUCCAAGGCGAACAGAAAGCCCGUCGAGAAAUCAACAGAUACUCCGAUGACAUCUACCGGCGAGAAAUCACAGCGCGUUAAAGACCCUGAUCAUAGUAAAGAAGAGUCCUCGUCUGAUUAUUUUGAAUUUCCACAUGAAAAUGCUCAAGCAACAGAUGAAAAGUCCCGAAUCAAACAGGAAGUGUUGAAGACAAUAGGGAGAAUGAUAGAGGAGAACAGGGUCAUCAGACAGAG